rnacentral:rRNA from 1 species
GAUGAACGCUGGCGGCGUGCCUAAUACAUGCAAGUCGAGCGAACAGACGAGGAGCUUACUCCUCUGACGUUAGCGGCGGACGGGUGAGUAACACGUGGAUAACCUACCUAUAAGACUGGGAUAACUUCGGGAAACCGGAGCUAAUACCGGAUAACAUGUUGAACCGCAUGGUUCAACAGUGAAAGACGGUCUUGCUGUCACUUAUAGAUGGAUCCGCGUCGCAUUAGCUAGUUGGUAAGGUAACGGCUUACCAAGGCAACGAUGCGUAGCCGACCUGAGAGGGUGAUCGGCCACACUGGAACUGAGACACGGUCCAGACUCCUGCGGGAGGCAGCAGUAGGGAAUCUUCCGCAAUGGGCGAAAGCCUGACGGAGCAACGCCGCGUGAGUGAAGAAGGUCUUCGGAUCGUAAAACUCUGUUAUUAGGGAAGAACAAAUGUGUAAGUAACUAUGCACGUCUUGACGGUACCUAAUCAGAAAGCCACGGCUAACUACGUG